UUCAACCAGCUUUGUUGACUUUCCUGCU
rnacentral:piRNA from 1 species